rnacentral:tRNA from 1 species
AUUAGCUCAGUUGGUUAGAGCCCGGUGCUAGUAACACCAAGGUCACAGGUUCAAUCCAUGUAU